rnacentral:rRNA from 1 species
CGCCUCUUGUAACUUAUAAGAGGUCCAGCCUGCCCAGUGACAAAGUUCAACGGCCGCGGUAUCCUAACCGUGCGAAGGUAGCGUAAUCACUUGUUCUUUAAAUGAGGACUAGUAUGAAUGGCACCACGAGGGUUAUGCUGUCUCCUUUUUCUAAUCAAUGAAACUGAUCCCCCCGUGAAGAAGCGGGGAUAAAAUUAUAAGACGAGAAGACCCUAUGGAGCUUUAAACUACUGCGACACUAGCACUUACGCCUGUACACUUGAGAAACAUCAAAAUUAUCAAAAAUAUUUAAGCUAGCAUGAUCGCUAGUUUUAGGUUGGGGUGACCAUGGAGUAAAAAAUAACCUCCAAGCCGAACGGAACCAUUUCCUGAGCCAAAAGCUACAACUUUAAGCACUAAUAAAUUAACAUUAAUUGACCCAAUAUAUUGAUCAACGAACCAA